CGCGCAGGCGGCUAUUUAAGUUGGAUGUGAAAGCCUACGGCUCAACCGUAGAACUGCAUCCAAAACUAUUUAGCUAGAGUGUGGGAGAGGAAGAUGGAAUUAGUUGUGUAGGGGUAAGAUCCGUAGAGAUAACUAGGAAUACCAAAAGCGAAGGCAAUCUUCUGGAACACUACUGACGCUGAGGCGCGAAAGCGUGGGGAGCAAACAGGAUUAGAUACCCUGGUAGUCC
rnacentral:rRNA from 1 species